GACGAACGCUGGCGGCGUGCUUAACACAUGCAAGUCGAACGGAAAGGCCCCUUUGGGGGUACUCGAGUGGCGAACGGGUGAGUAACACGUGAGUAACCUUCCCUUGACUUCGGGAUAACUUCAGGAAACUGGGGCUAAUACCGGAUAGGAAUCCUUGCUGCAUGGUGGGGGUUGGAAAGCUUCGGCGGUUUUGGAUGUACUUGCGGCUUAUCAGCUUGUUGGUGUGGUAGUGGCUUACCAAGGCUUUGACGGGUAGCCGGACUGAGAGGGCGACCGGACACAUUGGGACUGAGGGGAGGCCCAGACUCCUACGGGAGGCAGCAGUGGGGAAUAUUGCACAAUGGGCGGAAGCCUGAUGCAGCAGCGCCGCGUGCGGGAUGACGGCCUUCGGGUUGUAAACCGAUUUCAGAAGGGGCGAAGCUUGUGGUGACGGUACCUGCAGAAGAAGCACCGGCUAACUACGUG
rnacentral:rRNA from 1 species